UGCCAGCAUCCGCUGUACUACUAAUUGACCUAUCUUAUUUCGGAAUUACUGGGCUUAAAGAGUUCGUAGGUGGUUGAAAAAGUUAGUGGUGAAAUCCCAGAGCUUAACUCUGGAACUGCCAUUAAAACUUUUCAGCUAGAGUAUGAUAGAGGAAAGCAGAAUUUCUAGUGUAGAGGUGAAAUUCGUAGAUAUUAGAAAGAAUACCAAAUGCGAAGGCAGCUUUCUGGAUCAUUACUGACACUGAGGAACGAAAGCAGGGGUAGCGCAGAGGAUGAGAUA
rnacentral:rRNA from 1 species